CCCUUAGACGUUCUGGGCCGCACGCGCGCUACACUGACCAGUGCAACAAGCAUCCGUCCUUGGCCGACAGGCUCGGGCAAUCUUUGAACGCUGGUCGUGAUGGGGAUAGACUUUUGCAAUUUUUGGUCUUCAACGAGGAAUUCCUAGUAAACGCAAGUCUUCAACUUGCAUUGAUUACGUCCCUGCCCUUUGUACACACCGCCCGUCGCACCUACCGAUUGAAUGGUCCGGUGAAGCCUCCGGAUUGGCGCGCACCUCGGUGCCGCCGAGAAGUUGGCUAAACCUUACCAUUUAGAGGAAGGUGAAGUCGUANCA
rnacentral:rRNA from 1 species